GGAAACAACACUGGAUCAGCUGGCAACUCCAUCGACAGAAAAACGAGGAAGAGAAGAAAGGACAACCAUCAGAGGUAAACUUUGACUCAAGAAGACACCUGCUCUGUGAGGACGCCUGCUCUCUGAGGACACCUGCUCUGACAUAUCAGCCUCCCUCCAGGUGACAGAUGUUGAACCCUUCGGUGAUGAAGGAUCCAUCUGUGAUGAAGACUACGUUCCUGGCUCUUCACCAAGUGGUGAUGACUCGGGCUCUGAUGAUGCAUAUUCUUCAUGUAGUGUGAUGUUGCCUUUCCAUCAAUCCUGAGCCGCCACAUUUUAAGACUGCUCCAACUCUGCUGUCUAUGGAGACGACAGCGAGUGUGGCACCACUCAGGAACUAUGGUGUAACUGACAGAGUUAGUGUUGAUGAAGACCUCGUACCUGAUUACCUAUUCUGAUCAUGAACCCACCACAAGCAGCACUCAGAGAAGUUACUGAAACAGAGGCUUAUUGUUCUGAAGAAGGGGACACGACUGAGACUGAGCCAAACCCCAAAGCUUCUUCUUGCACCCACAAAAAUUAUUUGUUUUGUUUGCAGGAAACCUCAGUGAAAAAUAGCUCGUCACCUAAAAAAUCACUAAAAAGAAGAGUCUGAUGUUGCUCGAGCAUUCUUGCUCCCUAAACAUUCUAAAGAGACAAAGAAAUUCACUGAAGGAACAAAGGAAAACAAAACAAGGUGACAUCAUCCCAGGAUGAAACCAAGAGUUCCAAGGGGGGAAAUGUGUGUGUAGCAGCAGGGAAGGUUACAUCGUAAACAUGUUGGAUAUAAAAGUAUUCCACAUGGAAUGAAACAUGC
ensembl:lncRNA